AGUGUGUGAUUGGCAAUAGCUUUUAAUAUACUGCUGCCCAGGCUGGCUCUGAAUUCUUGUAAAUUAGUUUAGAUCUUUUGAAAGGGUUUCUUCCAGAUAUGUGGUUCAUUGGAAGUUCUUUGUCAUUUUUAAUUCCAUGAAAGUCUUAAUUUCCAGACAUGAAAAUUCUCUUGUUAAAUGUUUGGUUUCUGCACAGGCCAGAAUUGAAGAGGAAAUGACAGUUUGUACACAUUGUUUUCAAGGUAGCCGUCCUACAUUUCAUGAGAAUGUUGAUUUCAAGUUUACCUGAACUAAAUGUAUCUUAAAAUACAUAAAACACUUUAUUAGAUUACUUAUAAUAUUAUAGAGACAGCUAUUGUUGGCAAAAAUAUCUUGACAGAAGAGAGUAGUGAUACAACAUUUUCCUGAUUUGAGCAAACUUGGGAAGAAAUAUCUACCCUAGUAUGAUAAAAUCAGUGUGAUUCAGUUAGUUGGUCUGAGAUAUGGCCAGUUGUGUGCUCUUGUUGAUAAUAUGUUGCCAGUAUUUUUUAAAUCUUGGCCUUGUCAAGUUCCACCUAUUAUUUUUAAAAUCUUACAUAAAAGAGAAUGGCAUUUUGUUUUAGAAUAUUUAAAAAUAAUGGUAGCAGUAGUUAAUUUCUAAUUUUCAGAGUAUGUCAGAGUCACAAAGAGUUUAUCUGUAUGAAUGGUUCUAUAGUUUUGACACAGUGGUGUGUAAGCCUGUAUAUGCUAAAUGUCUCUAAGCCCCUAUGAACCAAAAAUGUUUUCCUUUUUUCUUAGUGUCCUUAAGAUUUUCUUUUUGUCAGCUUCACUUGAGUUUGGAUGCAUAGUUUACUCCAGUAGACCAUUAGCAUUUGCUUAUAUUGCUUUCAUGCUUAUGUAGUAAAAACAAUGCAUAUUCCUGAGAUUGGUACUGCUCUUGUAUUCUGUUCUGUAGAUUUGUAUUUGUAAAUGUGUUUUCAGUCCAUCUUCCUUUGUUUACUGAAAUUAAGUUGAAUUUGAAUGAACGAAUGACAAAUGUAUGUUAAUAUAAUCUCUUAGAGCAUUCAAAGCCCGGCUAUCUCUGUUUGCACAUGUAACAGAUGCAGAACUGUUUGCAAUUCUACAAAAUUGUAUGUCAGAAAAUACAUUAUCAGGUGUUUAAAAAAAUCUCUUCCUGUUCAUUCGAAAAGAAUGUUGUACUUGAACUUUUUCUAGAUAAGGGAGGUUUUUUGUUUUUUUCUGUGAUAGUAUCUUUAAGUGAGUCUACAUACUGAAAGUCCACUUUGUUGAAUGUGGAAGGAAGGGAGAAUCUAGAUGUUUUUAAAGUGGAGCUGAGUUUAAGAUAAUGUACACCACCACACACACCUGGGUUAGUGUUUAUCACAUCAUACUUUGAAAUAUUUUAUCUCAUUCAUUUAUAUUAAAGUUCCAGGAAAAUAUAUAACUUUCAUAUACUAAUUUUGCAUGAAGUAAGAUAGCCAAAUUCUUAACAAUUAGCUGUGCUUUAAUGCCCCCCCAACCCCUCCACUAACCACUAUUAUUUUGGCUUAGUCAGCCACUGAGAUACUCUUCUCAAUUUUUUUUCCUGGUUUAAGUACACAAAAACUGCUCAAUAAGCAGAAAAUGUACUGUGUCAAAUAAAUUAUAUAAUCACCCUGCUUUAACAGAUGCUCUUCUGUGGCUUGGUAUUUUAAGUUAAUAACUGGCAGGAUCUCAAAGUAGGAGUAUCAGAAACAAGUUUUGUUUUUUCCAGACAUGGUCUUACUACUAUGUAGCCUUGGCUGGCCUGGAGCCCACUCUAUAGACCAGGCUGGCCUUAAAAAGAGAUCUGCCUGCCUCCGUCUCCCAAGUGUUGGGACUAGAAGGCAUACUAUACCAUGCCUGGCUAGAGACUAAUUUUAUCUCUCUAUUAAAUACUUGAAUUUCGUGUAAAUUAUGCACAUGUGAAUGUUAGAAGAUGGACUUAAUCUCUGACAAUACUUCAUUGUCUCUAGUGACCGUAGUGGUAUUUAGGGUUAGAAACUUAAUUGGGUAUAAAGAAAAGUUUGGGUUCUCCCUUGAUAGAAAAUACAGACAAACAACCAAACAAAAAACAGGUUUGAGAAUUCAUCAGAAUUCUUGAACAUAUUUCAAAUCAGUUGAAUGAGAUUAUUAGUGGUUUGGGGUAAAUUUUGAGAGAGUUUGUUUUAAACAUUAUUUGUGUAUUUUAUGUGAGUGUAGAUGCAUUUUUACCAUUGUGAUACCACUGUGCUAUGUCAGGGCAGCACAAUAGCUUGUGAUCUCAAGUAAAAAUGGUUUUUUAGCCCUAGAAGUAACAUAACUGUAACUUAAAGCUAUUCAGUUCUAUUUGCAGUGUUCACUGAAUACUGAAGUAAUACUGUAAAUAUUUUUCUUCAGUAAUCCAUUUUGUAACCAUACCAAGUUUGAGUUGAUGACCCGAAGUCCAGGCAGUUAAAGGUAGUGUAUGUCCAGAAGGCUGGUAAUGAACAAUUGCUCAAGUUGAAGGAAACAAGACACUGCCAAGUAUUAUGAGUAGUAUACAAUUAGCUCCAAGGGAAUGGUCACUCAGAAACUAAAGAACAAGCCUAUCUAGCCAUUUCAUCUUCCACCCCUUAAACUAUGUUUCAGGUGUUUAUUGGAAAUAAUUAGGAAAGAGACCUGAGAAAUUUAGCAAAUGCUAGUAUUUGAAAUGCUUUAUACCUUCCUAUAGUCUUUAGUUUGGUUUUUACAAUUAAGCUUUACUGCUUGCAGUUGAGAUAGCAUUCUGGAAUGUACUUGUGAGACUAGCCACAGGUCUUACAGAUCUUUAUUGCCAUUAUUUUAAGGAUCAUAUUCAUUGGAUAUUAACACUGUCUUAAAUAGGGUCUCUUACCUCAGGGAAGAUAAUUUGCUAGCAACUCCUAUAUUAUUAUUGACAGGUUUUGGAGAACUACUUUGACAUAUCACAUGUUAGCUACCAAAUGCAAAAACAAGUAUUAUGUAGUUACCUGCUGUCUGCUACUGAACAUUUCUCUAGAUAUUUAGGGCCCUAUUAUUAAGUAACAUUUAAAUACGAAAUAAACUUCUAAGUUCUGUCAUUAGAUACUUCAUGUUUUCACUAUAGUGAUACUAUAUUUUUUUAAAUUUCAGAACAUUAAUAUAGUUUUGUCCUCAUUUUUCAAGUCAAUUUAAUUUGCCCAAACUUAAAUACUCAAAUACAAACAAAUCUUGAGAAUUUUAUUUUUCUUGCUUCCCCUCCCACCACCCUUGAUCUCAAAGCAAGAUUUUUAUAAGAUUCUUAUAAAAUCAGAGCCCUUGCAAAAUUGGUUUAAAUUCCUCUCAUUUUAAACUUAGAUUCAAAGUUACUUUUUUAUAACAUAAAUAGAUGCAUAUUCUAGGUUGGCUAGAUGUUCAACUUUCCAAGACUAUAACAAAAUUGUACAACAUAGAGGCUCUUCACAGUUAGAUUUUUUUUUUUUUUCAAACAAGAACAGCUCAUGAAAAUAGGCCAUGGUAGUAAAAUGUGUAUUUAAGUAACGAAGGGGAGAUAAAUCACUAAUGUCACAGAGUUAAUUGCAAGUUCUGCCAUUCUUUGAGAUGCCAAGUGUUUCAAUUCAUAUUUAAUGAUACUCAAAUCGUGGAAAUUUUAACGUUUGUUCCAAAGUAGCAGAAACUGUAAAAAAAAAAAAAAUUGUGAAUUAUUGAAGAAAAUACCAUUACUUGUAUACCUGACAUUUAAAGUUUUUAAUUAUGGAGUUGACAUGUUUUUGUAGUAUAAUAAUACAAUGACUAUUCUCUUGUAAAAGAAAAGGAAAAACUAGUAAAGAAAAAGUUUUAGUUG
rnacentral:lncRNA from 1 species